rnacentral:lncRNA from 1 species
AAUUUAUAUUAUUCCCCACACCCUCCCCCAUAAAACCAGUUUCAUGGCAGUAGGACAAGGUGUGCAGAUUAACAAGAAUUAGAUGAAGAGGGAGAAAAAGGAUGAUGGGAGAAAAUAAGGGACGGAAUCCAUGGUGGGAGAAGUGGUAAAGAAAAAAAAAUAGUCAAGCAAGAACAAGUUCUGUGCAUUCGCCAGAAUGCAUCUUGAAUCCAACACUUGUCACAAGCUUUUCAUUUUCAAAGAUGCUCCAAGUCAUUAUUAAUCAGAGAAAUGCAAAUUAAGACAACUCUAAG